UGGGGAAUCUUGCGCAAUGGGCGAAAGCCUGACGCAGCCAUGCCGCGUGAAUGAUGAAGGUCUUAGGAUUGUAAAAUUCUUUCAGCGGGGACGAUAAUGACGGUACCCGCAGAAGAAGCCCCCGGCUAACUUCGUGCCAGCAGCCGCGGUAAUACGAAGGGGGCUAGCGUUGCUCGGAUUUACUGGGCGUAAAGGGCGCGUAGGCGGAUUGACAAGUUGGGGGUGAAAGCCCGGGGCUCAACUCGGAAUUGCCUUCAAAACUGUCAGUCUUGAGUUCGGGAGAGGUGAGUGGAACUCCGAGUGUAGAGGUGAAAUUCGUAGAUAUUCGGAAGAACACCAGUGGCGAAGGCGACUCACUGGCCCGAUACUGACGCUGAGGCGCGAAAGCGUGGGGAGCAAAACAGGAUUACGUACCCUGGUAGUCCACGCUGUAAAACGAUGAGUGCUAGUUGUCGGCAGGCAUGCCUGUCGGUGACGCAGCUAACGCAUUAAGCACUCCGCCUGGGGGAGUAC
rnacentral:rRNA from 1 species